rnacentral:rRNA from 1 species
ACGCUGGCGGCAGGCCUAACACAUGCAAGUCGAGCGGUAGAGAGAAGCUUGCUUCUCUUGAGAGCGGCGGACGGGUGAGUAAUGCCUAGGAAUCUGCCUGGUAGUGGGGGAUAACGUCCGGAAACGGACGCUAAUAUCGCAUACGUCCUACGGGAGAAAGCAGGGGACCUUCGGGCCUUGCGCUAUCAGAUGAGCCUAGGUCGGAUUAGCUAGUUGGUGGGGUAAUGGCUCACCAAGGCGACGAUCCGUAACUGGUCUGAGAGGAUGAUCAGUCACACUGGAACUGAGACACGGUCCAGACUCCUACGGGAGGCAGCAGUGGGGAAUAUUGGACAAUGGGCGAAAGCCUGAUCCAGCCAUGCCGCGUGUGUGAAGAAGGUCUUCGGAUUGUAAAGCACUUUAAGUUGGGAGGAAGGGCAGUAAAUUAACACUUUGCUGUUUUGACGUUACCGACAGAAUAAGCACCGGCUAACUCUGUGCCAGCAGCCGCGGUAAUACAGAGGGUGCAAGCGUUAAUCGGAAUUACUGGGCGUAAAGCGCGCGUAGGUGGUUCGUUAAGUUGGAUGUGAAAUCCCCGGGCUCAACCUGGGAACUGCAUUCAAAACUGACGAGCUAGAGUAUGGUAGAGGGUGGUGGAAUUUCCUGUGUAGCGGUGAAAUGCGUAGAUAUAGGAAGGAACACCAGUGGCGAAGGCGACCACCUGGACUGAUACUGACACUGAGGUGCAAAAGCGUGGGGAGCAAAC